rnacentral:tRNA from 1 species
GAGAGAUUAGCUCAAUGUUAGAGCUACCGUGCUACACAUGGUUGGUUAGGUGUUCAAGUCACUUAUCUUUCA